GCGCCCGUAGCUCAGCUGGAUAGAGUACUGCCCUCCGAAGGCAGGGGUCACUGGUUCGAAUCCAGUCGGGCGCACCA
rnacentral:tRNA from 3 species